GAGCGGUAACAGGUGUAGCAAUACAUGCUGACGAGCGGCGAACGGGUGAGUAAUGCUUCGGAAUCUACCCUAUGGUGGGGAAUAACCAGCCGAAAGGUUGGCUAAUACCGCAUACGUCCUACGGGAGAAAGCAGGGGAUCGUAAGACCUUGUGCCGAUGGAUGAGCCGAAGUCGGAUUAGCUAGUUGGUGAGGUAACGGCUCACCAAGGCGACGAUCCGUAGCUGGUCUGAGAGGACGACCAGCCACACUGGGACUGAGACACGGCCCAGACUCCUACGGGAGGCAGCAGUGGGGAAUAUUGGACAAUGGGGGCAACCCUGAUCCAGCGACGCCGCGUGUGUGAAGAAGGCCUGCGGGUUGUAAAGCACUUUUAGUGGGGAUGAAAAGUGCAGGGCUAAUACCUAUGCAUAUUGACCUAACCCACAGAAAAAGCACCGGCUAACUAUGUG
rnacentral:rRNA from 1 species